ACUCAAAGGAAUUGACGGGGGCCCGCACAAGCGGUGGAGCAUGUGGUUUAAUUCGACGCAACGCGAAGAACCUUACCUGGGCUCGAAAUGUAGUGGAAUCCGGCAGAAACGUCGGCGUCUAGCAAUAGACCGCUAUAUAGGUGCUGCAUGGCUGUCGUCAGCUCGUGUCGUGAGAUGUUGGGUUAAGUCCCGCAACGAGCGCAACCCUUAUCUUCAGUUGCUACCAUUUAGUUGAGCACUCUGACGAAACCGCCUCGGAUAACGGGGAGGAAGGUGGGGAUGACGUCAAGUCCUCAUGGCCUUUAUGUCCAGGGCUACACACGUGCUACAAUGGCCGGUACAAACCGCUGCAAACCCGCGAGGGGGAGCUAAUCGGAAAAAGCCGGCCUCAGUUCGGAUUGGAGUCUGCAACUCGACUCCAUGAAGCUGGAAUCGCUAGUAAUCGUGGAUCAGCAUGCCACGGUGAAUACGUUCCCGGGCCUUGUACACACCGCCCGU
rnacentral:rRNA from 1 species